GGGAGGCAGCAGUGAGGAAUAUUGGUCAAUGGGCGAGAGCCUGAACCAGCCAAGUAGCGUGAAGGAUGACUGCCUAUGGGUUGUAAACUUCUUUUAUAAAGGAAUAAGUCGGGUAUGCAUACCCGUUUGCAUGUACUUUAUGAAUAAGGAUCGGCUAACUCCGUGCCAGCAGCCGCGGUAAUACGGAGGAUCCGAGCGUUAUCCGGAUUUAUUGGGUUUAAAGGGAGCGUAGAUGGAUGUUUAAGUCAGUUGUGAAAGUUUGCGGCUCAACCGUAAAAUUGCAGUUGAUACUGGAUAUCUUGAGUG
rnacentral:rRNA from 1 species